GUGAGGAAUAUUGGUCAAUGGACGGAAGUCUGAACCAGCCAUGCCGCGUGCAGGAAUAAGGUCCUAUGGAUUGUAAACUGCUUUUAUUCGGGAAUAAACCUCUUUACGUGUAGGGAGCUGAAGGUACCGAAGGAAUAAGCACCGGCUAACUCCGUGCCAGCAGCCGCGGUAAUACGGAGGGUGCAAGCGUUAUCCGGAAUCAUUGGGUUUAAAGGGUCCGCAGGCGGGCUAUCAAGUCAGAGGUGAAAUCCCACAGCUUAACUGUGGAACUGCCUUUGAAACUGAUGGUCUUGAAUUAAGUGGGCGUUGGCGGAAUAUGACAUGUAGCGGUGAAAUGCAUAGAUAUGUCAUGGAACACCGAAAGCGAAGGCAGCUAACGAUACUUAUAUUGACGCUCAUGGACGAAAGCGUGGGCAGCGAACAGGAUUAGAAACCCUGGUAGUCC
rnacentral:rRNA from 1 species